AUGCAAGAGCUGGGGCUCAAGGAAGAGGAUCUGGACGACGUAGUUUUCGACGAGGCUGACAUCCCUGAAGACGCAGCUCGCUGGGUUGCUAUCGCGAAGGUGAACUCUGUGAAAACCUACAGCCAGACUUGGUUUUUUCGCAAUAUGAGAUCUGCCUGGGACCUUGCACAGGAGGUCAGAUUCAGGCCUUUGGAAGAUAAUCUGUACACUAUCCAAUUUUCUUGCCUGGGUGAUUGGGAG
rnacentral:rRNA from 1 species